GAUGAACGCUGGCGGCGUGCCUAAUACAUGCAAGUCGAGCGAACGGAUUAAGAGCUUGCUCUUAUGAAGUUAGCGGCGGACGGGUGAGUAACACGUGGGUAACCUGCCCAUAAGACUGGGAUAACUCCGGGAAACCGGGGCUAAUACCGGAUAAUAUUUUGAACUGCAUAGUUCGAAAUUGAAAGGCGGCUUCGGCUGUCACUUAUGGAUGGACCCGCGUCGCAUUAGCUAGUUGGUGAGGUAACGGCUCACCAAGGCAACGAUGCGUAGCCGACCUGAGAGGGUGAUCGGCCACACUGGGACUGAGACACGGCCCAGACUCCUACGGGAGGCAGCAGUAGGGAAUCUUCCGCAAUGGGCGAAAGCCUGACGCAGCGACGCCGCGUGGGUGAUGAAGGCCUGGUCGUAAG
rnacentral:rRNA from 1 species